AGUUCCAAACUUAUUUUGAAAUAUAUCUGAAACAGCCCCAGCAAAGAUCACAUGAAGUAAUGCUCUAAAUGACUCUGUGCCAUUCUGGUUCACAUCGUUCCGGGGCAUUAAGCGCCAAUGCUUCAAAACUUUGCCUAAAAAUCCAUCAGUUAAAGUACCUAGAAGUAUCCGCAAAGAAAGACAGAAAGAAAAAAACAGAAUAGAAUGAAGAAAUGACUGAUUUCAAGCAUUAAUACUGGAUGUGAAAUGUUCUACUAAUGCAAUGGAAUGAAAGAAUCUCAGAGAUUUGACCAAGUGAAUGGGAGAAAAUCUGGAAUGGAAUUUUGUUCAUAGACAUUCAAAGAUCAUUGUUCAUAUUUCUGCUAGAAAGAUGGUUCUAAAAUAAAACUCUGGGAGAUUAAACAUGGGAGAGUAAAGACCAGCAGGAAAAUACAGCUUCUCUAAGACUUGUAAUCAAGACACUUGGAAAACAACAGCUUGAUGAAGGAAAAAGUAGAUCUCCAUGAAUUAGGAGAAAGCUGACAGGAACACUAGAAACUACAAGGAAGCUGGAGAAACGGAGCACAACCCCGCAGAGAAAAGAACAAAGCAGCCUGGAAAGUGAACCAUGGCUCCUGGAGGGGUGUGUUUCUCUGCUAACAAGUUCACAGACGUGGAAGUCAUUUGCAGCAAGGCUUAAACUAACCAACAUUUGAAAUGAUAUCUUAUAACAAGGCCAUUCCUAAAAUAAAAAACAAACAAACAAACAAACAAAGUGAAAGGCUAAUAUUGCUGUGAGAAGACACCAGCAGAAAACAAAAAUGCUCAGCACUGGAAACCAUUCUUGUGCCAAAUCACGGAGAGAGGAGAGCUAUAAAAGGGAAAGCCGAUCAGUUUGAGGCUGAUGUUUAAGAUAACAAAAGGACAGAACUACUGGGAUGGGGAGAAGGAAGAAAGGAAAACAUUAUAUGUAUGUUGGUAAAUAUAUAUAAAUGUAUGUUUGUAUAUGUACACUAGAACCAUACUACUAAUCUCUCUUAGUUCAUCAAAAAAAAAAACCAGUUUUUACUGUCACUAUUUGAUUCAUUACCUUUAUAUUUAGAUUUCGUAGCCUGAACAACUAAUUCUGAGAUAACAAUAUGCAAUAUAUUAACUAGUGUUAAUUCCUACUUUUUUUGAAAUUCUGUAUCAGGGCUGGGAAGUUAGCUCAGAGGCAUAAGCGCCUGCCUUGCAAGGGCAGAGUUGUGAAUUCGAUCUCCGGUACCAAAAAAAAAAAAAUUCUGUAUCAUUUCUAUCCUUUGUUUUACUUUUUAAAAUUAAAAAGAAGAUAACAAAAGAACAUCCAACAUGUAUCAAUCAACAUAGUUACAAAAAUGGCUCUUUGGAAACCAAAAAGUUACAUUAUAAGGGUCUACCCAUAGGUUACUUUUACUCUUCAAUGGGGGGGUCUUUUGUUUUGUUUUUAUUUUGAUACUGGGGAUUGAAUGAGGAGCACUCUAUCACUAAGCUACAUCCUCAUCCCAUUUUUGUUUUUAUUUUGAGAUAGAGUCUCACUAAAUUGCCCAGAGGGUCUUAACUUUCGCUUCUCUUGCUUCAGCCUCGCAUGUGCUGGGAUUACAAGCAUGUGUCACCACAACGUGGUCACUAAUUGCUUGGCCAUUUAUUCUUUUUGGAACUGAAAUUCAAGAGCAAACUUCCUAUUUUGGUGUGUUCUUCAGUCCUGGUAAGACUGAUUAGCAAGUUUCCCUCCAUCUUCCCCCCUGACACUUUUCUACCACCAGGUCAGUAAAAGUUCACUGAACUGAAAUAAACUCUCACAUAGUCUUAAAUUAUAAUAAUCUUUGCCAAGUAAUUUCCUCAUAAUCAGAAAAUGUGCAUCUAUUUUACUACUUGUCCUGGUCUGUUGGGUUAUCAAUACUAUAGCCUGUUUGUCACUCACUGUUUCUUUUUUUUCGUUUUUAUUUGUACCAGGAAUCGAACUCACGACCACACACUUGCAAGGCAGGCGCUUAUGCCACUGAGCUAAAUCCCCAGCCUCAUGUGAUUCACUGUUUCCAGACAGCUAUGAUUUGACCCCAGGCACCUUCUUUUUACCUUUCUCCUGUUCCUCUGUAUUGCAAUACACUGAAUGGAAGGAAGAAGAGACAGGAAAGUCAUUUGCAGCAAGCCCUAAACUAACCAGCCAACCAAGAUUUGAAUGGAAAUCUGACAACAAGGUUAUUCCUAAAGUAAAACAUAGAACCAUGUUAAAGACUGGUACUGCUGUGCCUUUUACUCUAGCACCUAUGCCCCGAGUUUCUCUGCACACAGAUCACACCUAAUGCACGAGGCCCGCUAUCUACACUCACAUUCAUGACUGUGCCUCCCCUACAACCCAGCAAACUGCCAUACUGAGUGGACAAGUGUCGGGAGCCGAGCCAGAGGACCUGCCUAAGCAGAUGAGGCCUGUAGGAAAGAGCGAAGCCUUCAGUAGAUUACCCCUCCCAUCGAAUGAUGCCAAGAUGGCGCCCGUUUCCUACUUCCGUAUUCUUACCCUCAGCUUCUGCCUAGCUACAGCUGAUGUCCCCCAAUCAGACUUUGCCACGCCUUGUUACCCUAUAGGACAGGACUAUAGAUAUAAGGACAGAGCAGGAGGUAGAGAGGAAGAGAAGACACGCAGACCAUAGAGAGUGGAGGACUACGCGGGGUUACUCAACAGAGAGAGCCCCACUGGAGAGUCCGAUCAGGGAGGAACGUUCCGGGGACGACCUGUGUGGAGAGUCAAUAAACGCGACCUCUGUCUCUGCA